AAAAAAAAGAAGAAGAAACCAACGAGAAAGAAUAUUUCACGAUCGAAACUCGCGACAAAUGAUAUUAAAUCUGGUAGAGAAAAGAAAGUUAUAAAUAACCAAUGUCCGUCGUUUCUUUUUUUCUUUUCUUUUUUUGUUCAUCUGCGAUAAUGUCCUUGCUCAUCUUGGUGGUAACGAAGGUUGUUAAAUAUGAACUAAGUUAAAACAGUCUAUAUAAUUUAAUUAAAUCGUAGGCGGCUUAUCGUAGAACACGAAUAAUUGAAAGGCAUAAAAUGAAAAAUGCAUUCGUCCAUGGUUGGCGUAGAAUAUUACGAUGAACUUGGUCCCGACGGUCCUCACUACGUUUAAAGGUUAUUAAUGUUGCCGAGGGCGAUCGCUUUUAAUUAACAUUUUCUCAAAUAUAUAUAUAUAUAUAUAUAUAUAUAUAUAUAUACACACACACACACGUGUAUACUAACUAAUACACUUUCAACUCUCGUUUCCUUUUCUCGAUUUAAUUGCAUACAGGGUAACGUUGAUUUUUCCAACAAGAUAACUCGGCAUUUCCGUGUUAUAGGUACGCAUAGAAUGCAUACGCAUGUAUAAUUUUUUUCUCUCUCUCUUUUUCUCCUUGAACCAACAGCGAAACGUUCUAUCCGCUACGCUCGUUGCGGAUUAUAUCGGACUUUUGAUAUUCGAGAGCUGAGCUUGCUUACGAACGAACGAGAAACUUAUUAUCGCGUACUUCAUUUCUCAGCGCAGUGGCAGCUUUUUAUUAAAUAAUUUAAGUAAGCCGUAAGAAGAAGAAGAAGAAGAAGUAGAAGAAGCUCGUCCAGUCGGGAAAACUUUCGUAAUUUUCUUCCCGAAAUGGGUAUCUCUUCUAAAAUCUACCAGGAGAGAAAGAGAGAGAGAGAGAGGAAAUAGUUUUGCUCGUAAAUCCUCUCCUUCUCGUUCGGCAAAUAAUUAUCUUCAUUCAAUUAUACCGAUUUAAAAGAAUGUUAAGUAGAUAUACGCGAAACGAGUAGUUGUACAACUCGAAAUCAUUUUAUCGAGUCGAUACUCUCGAUCCUUUCGAAAGAGAGAUAUUAUUUUCUUUUUUUUUUUCUUGCGAAUCAAGGUCGAACAAAGAAAAAAAGAAAGACGAAACAAGAUCGAUUUCGCGUAAGAAUCGAGUUUCGUGCGGUUGAAUUAUUAUUAAAAUUCGACAUUCGCGUGAGAUGGUCGUUCAGUCGAUCAUGUCAAGAAUUUCACGAGCGGCUUUUGAACAAGCUCGCCAGGAAAAUAUAUCGAUUCGCUGGAAUGAGUUUAGAAUUAGUCGUUUUUCGACUUUUCAACAUUUUCUUCGCAAACGAAAAGAGUAGAAAGAUAUUGCGUGAAAUCGUGAAAAGUUACGUCAACGAUAAAAGUGGACCGACAUUAUUCAUUAAUUUCACUCUUUUGCUCGUGGUUAAAAGGAACGGCCAACAACACUUUUUCUCGUCUCCCUAUAUAUACGAUUUUACUUUUAUCAUAUCUUCCUUUUGACGAAAACGUACGCUUCCCUUUUAAUCUCAUUUCUUUUUCUUUUUUUCUUUUUUCUUUUUUUUUUCCCCUAUUCCUUUCAUUUCUUUUUUUUCUAUUUUUUUUUGUCUCUUCUUUUUCCUUUAAUUUCGCGAAAAGACUCUUCUUGCUCGGACAGGUUAUUUUCGUGUUGGCUUCUUGACCCGUGAUCGGGUCUUAAAGUACAAAGAAUUAUUUAGGAAGUAUAAAACGAGGAAAGGGACGUGCUAUUUUAGUGCACGAAUAUAGAGCAACGGUAGGAAUAGAUUAGAGUCUAUGUUUAAUAAUUAUAUAAGGUCGAAGGUUCUAAAGUAGAUUUACGUCCUCUAAGAAACGAACGUUUCAUCGGAUCAGAGGAUUUUAAUGAGAAAUUAUAAUACCUUUACGAGCUAACUUUAUACCGAUAACAGCAAGAACAAACAGUAACAGGAGCCACCCAUCAGUAAAUGCAUCAACGAAUCUCUCGAAUAUCGUAAUUUUAAUCUAUAAUAAAACGUUCCUCUGUUUCAUCAUUUUAGCUAUCUAUUCCCUUCCGGUCGAAAACUUUGAGAAAGGAGAAGAUUCUCUCUUUUCUCUCUAUUUCUUCGUUCCUCGAGAAAAGACGGAGUGAAAGUAAAAUCGAUAUUUAAUUUUAACGAAGCCACACAAAAGAAUAUCCUCCGUUCUGCUCUCUCUUGUAACGAGAAUCUCUCUCUCUCUCUCUCUCUCGUUUCUUUUCGAGCUCUUUCUCUUUUACAACGUCAGCCAUCGCAGACACACAAAUGUACACAUGUAUGUAUAUAUAUAUAUAUAUGUAUACAUACACGAACGAUAUCUACCUAUCUACCACUCUUUUCCCUUUCGCCUCGUUUUUCUUUGUGGCACAUGUUGUAUCCGUCGACUGUGUCUGGAUCAUGACAGAAAGAGAAAGAGAGAGAGAGAGAGAGAGAGUGAGAGAGAAAGGAAGGAGAAGGGAGAUCAAGGAUCGAGAACUCGAGCUCGGAGAGAUAAGACAGCAAAGGCCAAAGGAGUCCGAAACUUUCGUAACGGCGAGCUCUGAUAAAAGCGCGCAUUUUUCCUAGACGGAUGAGGGACAAGAAGAUUCUCUUGUCCCUUGUCUUUCACCAAGAUUUACGGAAUACCGAAUACGAAAAUUACAAGACAGAAUAGAAAAAAGAAACUUACGAUCUCGAAGAUACUUCGUUAUUGCUGUUUUUGUUUUUCUCUCUUUUCUUUUUUUUCUUCUUUUUUUUCUUUUUUUUAUUUCUAUCUCUUUAAUCUUCUUCAAUUUUCUUUUAAUCAUUUUUCAAAGAAUAAUUUCUUAUUAUUUCGUUCUUUUCUCUAUUACUUUUCCGAGCGAUAAUUCUUCCUUUUUCUGUUUUCUUUUUACUUUUUUUUCUUGUCGCAGGAAAGAUAAAUAAAUUCGAAAAGUGAACGAUUCGCUGGCGCGUAUAAUGAUAAUCGUAUCUUUUGAAAAGGAUUCGAAAACGAAAGAGGGAACGGGAUUGUCGACUUUUCCUUGCGAUGCUCUUAAAAAAGAACGAGUUUUUAGGGAGCGAGAAGAAGAAUUACGAUGACCAGGCGUUAACUUUACGAGUACCGUGUUAAUUGCAUUAGCCCUUGAAAAAUAGAGGAGGUAAUGGAGGAGGAAAGGGAGAGCACAAAGGGGAAAAAAGGAAGAAGGAAAGAAAGAAAGAAAGAAAGAAAGAAAGGAAAAACAAAGGAUAAAAAAAAGAAAGGGAUAAAAAGUACGAUGGGAUAAGGGAACUUUUAACCGUUUUGUGCGAGUAAACUGAAAUUUAUGGGUAGGAAAAUGUGUGUCGCUAAUAUUAUACUUCUAUGGUUAUUAACUUACGUUUUCGUGUUAUAUUAAUUGAAUUAUUUAUUGUUUGUAAGAGGCAUCUCUCUCUCUCUCUCUUUCUCUCUUUCUCUCUCGUUUUCUCACUUUCUCUCUUUUGUGUAUAAUCUCCAUCUCUCUGUCCUUCUCGUUUAUCGAGCGAGCGAGUUAGCCAUUCUGUUUCGUAGUAGAACAAUAUAUAAUUUAUUGAACAUCGUCGACUAGGUACGGAGGAGGGUAGCUAACGAUGGUAAAGGGACGCUCGUGAGUAAGCCUUCGCGAAGUGGCAUAAUGAAUUUAUAGGGAAAUUUCGUAAGACGUCGACGAGCUUUCGUGACGACGAAACAGAAACGACGAAGACGACGACAACAACAAGGACGACGACGACGACGACGACGACGACGACGACGACGACGACGACGACGAUGACAACGAAGAAGACAAAGACGAAGACGACGACGACGACGACGUUUGGUAGGGAAAAAACGAUGAUUAAGAGAGAGAACGGACAUAGGAUACGUGCUGCUUACAUAGUUAUGCUUAAACUGUUAUAAUUCGCCGGCUUAGAAGGAUCGUCGAAAUAAAUUUAGUCGGUUUAUUACAACUCCUGGGAAACUUCUGAAAGACGGGGAAAAAUUUUAAGAAAAAAAGAAAAGAAAAGAAAAGAAAAGAAAAGAAAAGAAAGGGAAGCGCUAACGUCGGCAUCGACUGUUCCGAUAAAGAGGAAAUAUAAAAGAAGCGAAAAAGAGAGAGAAAGAGGAAGGGCGAGUAAAAGGCAGAAACGCGAAAGGGAGUGAGAGAACGAAGACUAGCCUGUCAGAUUUUUGAAAAGCGUCCGAGUUUCUGUCGACCAAAAGGAGAGAAAAAGAGAAAGAAAGAAAGAAAGAAAGAGAAGAUCUUUCGUUACCCACUCGCGAAAAGUUCCCGCGAGGCAAAACGUGGGGAAGAAGAAGAAAAGAAAAGAGAGAGAGAGAGAGAGAGAGAGAGAGAGAGAGAGAGAGAGAGAGAGAGAGAGAGAGAGAGAGAGAGAGAGAAGGAAAACGGUUAGAGAGCUUCCUUCGAAGUAGAAAAAGGAAGCAGAGAUCUUGCUCGCGCGUGAGAAUUUAUCGCGGGCACGAAUCUCUCGACUCGAAUCCAAUUUUCGAGAUAUACGAGGGUACAUGCACUUUCCUUCCCUUCACUUUUUUCCCUUCUUUCCUUCCUUCCUUUCUUUCUUUCUCCUUCCCUCCCCUCCUUCGAUACAUUUUCUCUCUUUCUGUCUCUGUAACACUUUUCUCUUUCUCUUUCUCUUUCUCUUUCUCUUUCUCUUUCUCAUUCUCUCCUUUUCAAGUAGCACUCGACGCUGUGUGUCCGUCGAUGUAUCUUCGAAACAGCUUCUCUCUCUCUCUCUCUCUCUCUCUCUCUCUCUCUCUCUCUCUCUCUCUUCUCUUUCUUUCUUCUGUCCUUGUGUUUACCGCUCGCACUUUCGCGGUAUCCGCUUGUCAAAAGGAGAUAUACUGGCCACCGAGGUUCUCAACGUGGGUGGUUGGGUGGUUGGAAGGGCUCGAGGGAUGUAGAAGGUGCUACAGCGAGUAGCUUCUCUUUCUUUCUCCUCCUCUUUCUACUUCUUCUCCACCUUCUCUUCUUCCUCCUCCUUCUCUUUUCCUUUAUUCUUUUGAGAGACGUCGCACGAACGAGAAGUCGAAGAAGAGAGAAAGAUAGAAGUAGCAAGGAACGCUUCGAUAAGCAGUCGAUAUAUCGUAAAGCUCUCCGACGUCAUUCCUCCUCUUCCUCCUCCUCCUCCUCCUCCUCCUACACAUCUACCCUCUGCUUCCUUUUAAGAGAACCGAAGAGAAUACGCUGAUGUCGCACUCCAUUCGAUCCGAUUGCUCGAUACGCUUUUGUUUCUCUACUUUGACUCUCUUACUCAUACUCCAUCUUUUUUUUGGCCCUUUCUCUCUCUUCUCUCUCUCUCUCUCUCUCUCUCUCUCUCUCUUUCUCUAUCUUCUUACUUUUUAUCUUUUUAUUUUUUCACUCACCAAAGAUUACGUAAGUAAGUACAUACUCUUGACGUGUAUCCUCGUGUUACCCUUCUCUUAUCCGUUUCAUUGACUCGAUCAUCUUCGAUAUUUUUCCUUAUUCUAUAUAAAUGUCCAGGGAAAGUAAUUACGUCUUUUAGGAUGAUGCGUCAUAACCAAUGACGCCAAGACGGCUCGUCAGAGGUAGUUCUUUACUCGAUGGCGAAGGAAGACCGCGAAGGAGGCACUGAAAAGGUGUCACCUUAAUGGGAUUAUCACGAAGUUCUCUUGCUCUUCUCUUUCACUCUUUCUCUCUCUCUAUCUCUCUGUCUUUUUCUCUUCUUAUUCGUUUCAGGACGGGCUUCGAGAUUACGCGAUCGGUUAAAUACUGUACAACGUUAACCCAUGAUUCUACAAAAUGAUUAGCUCUCUCUCUCUCUCUGUCUAUCUCGUAGAGUCCAUUGAUAAAAUACAUCAAGGGUAUCUUCAGUCGAUUGGACAAGGACAUUAUUAUUAUUAUUAUUAUUAUUAUUAUUAUUAUUAUUAUUAUUAUCAUCAUUGAAAGGGAAUUCAUCGGUGAAUCAUCGUUUAAACGAAAACACGAGCAACCGGUGGUAUGCCGACGAAUAUAUUAAUUAACUGGCAUGAGGCAAGGGGUAAGAGGGAAGAAAACGAUGGAAAAACUUUGCAUCUGCUCAGCGUGAACACGUACACAUGGAAGAGCUUGUUUUAUACGACGUUGGUAGUCGACGAAGAAACGAGAAAAAAGAGAUAAACAGAGGAAGAGAGAGAGAGACAGAGAGAGAGAGAGAGGGAGAGAGAGAGAGAGAGAAAGUGCUCAAGGGUGGUUUCAAGUAGAAGGCAAGAAGCAAGAAGAACAACAAUAAAACCCCCGGGUAUAAUUUGUCUUGGGUUUCGCCGACGCGAGUAGCAUUGAUGUACGCUCGCGCGUUCAAGUUUUCCCAUUAUUAUUAUUAACACUUUUCGACCGACAGCGGCCUCGAAAGUACGAAGGGAGUCUCUUUUACCCGAUAGAAAAAUAUCUAUAUACGUAAAUACAUAGAUAUAUACAUAUAUACGCACGUACGCACGUAGUUAGAUAUGUAUCUAUAUUUUUUUCGCGUAGGUAUAUAUCAGAUAUAUACGAUGUUCGAUAUGACUAUGAACAUUUUUUAUACGAAUGUUACAUUUUUCGUAUAAACGUUUCGAAAUAAACUAGUUACCUAUAUUUUCGUAUAUUUAUGUACGUACAUAUAUCUCAUAUGUUGUGUGUGUGCGCGCGCGCGUGUGUGUACGUUAAGUUUCGUUCGAUUUAUUUGUUUCGUUUUGAAAAUAAUGAAUGGAAGUUUAUUUCAUCUUGUAAUAAUCAUUGACUUGUUCUCUCUCUCUCUCCCUCUCUCUCUCUCUCUCUCUCUUUCUCUCUUUCAUAUACAUAUAAACAUAAGCGCGCGUGUUUAUCCAUACGUGUAUAUGUUCUAUAUAAUACAAGAACGCUCGUCUUCGAUUAGUUCAUAAUCUUCGACGAGACAGUAAAGAUCGUUGUCGGUAAUAAUCGGCUAAGAAUUCGUGAAGGGGGUUAAAAUGAAGGUCCGUCUAUUCCUGCCGUUAUACCAUCGUUAUCGUCCCAUUUCCAGUUAGUCUCCGUUAACGGGACACCCUUUCUCAUUUUCUCGAUCAUUAGGUAUUACGUCCAAAGUUCGAACGUGAAUGGCCGAAACUAGAACGAGAUAUUGUCAUUUCUUCGCUCACGCAUUUACGGGAAAUACGAUAAUACGAAGAAUUUGUCUUUGUUAAUUAAAUUGUGAUUUGUAUUAUUUAUAAAAUACAUAUUCAAAAUUUUAUACGAAUGUCUCGCUCGUUCGGUCUAAUUAUUAGAUCUAAUUGUAAAACAAAUAUAUUGUUAUAUAUAUAUAUAUAUAUUUCAUAGAUAUAUUAAAUAAUAUUUAAUAUCUCUAGAUAGUCAGAUAAUACGAUCAUGUCCCCUAUUUGAAACUUUUUUCUUCGAAAAUUCCGUUCGAUAGCGUGAAAAUUCGUUAAGAAAAUCUUUAAUACCUACGUGCUGGUAUAGUUGUAAAGUGAAAGAGAAAGAAAGAAAGAAAGAAAGAACGAACGAAAAAGAGAGAGAGAGAGAGAGAGAGAGAGAGAGAGAGAGAGAAGGGAGUUGACUAAAGGUAGAGUGGGAAAAGAGGAGAAGGUCAUUAAAAAGUCGUCUAUCGGAGGAGGAUAAAAAUUUCGGAUUCUUUAAAGGGCACUAUCCGACUGCGGCGAGUGGUUUUAAAAGCUUCCGACAGAUUCGAUUAACGUACUUCUCCAUCUUUUUCUUUUUUUCCUCUCUCUCUCUCCCUCUCUCUCUCUCUCUCUCUCUCUCUCUCUCUCUCUCUCUCUCUCUCUCUCUUUCGAAACUUGCCAUCGAGAAGCACCGACCGUACGAGGGAGCCCAUUUAGCUUGGGAAGUUAUCUCGAGGAACUUUAUCGGUUCGAAGAGCACUCCUUCCACCAUUUCUCUCAUCCUUUUUCGUUGUCUUUCUCUUUCUCUUUCUUUCCGUCCCUCUUUCUCUCUUUCUUUGUCGCUAUCAUUCUUUUUCUGUCUCUGCAGUAUCCCUUUUCUCGGUCGCCCUUUUUACAUUCGUUCGCUUCUUUCUAUCGACAGCUGUUUACUCGCCGAUUUUUCAACGGAUACAAGAAGAAGGACGAACUAACCAACGGUCAGCAACGAUUUUAUGCACGAGAAGGGACGAAUGAAUGAAUGAAUGAAUGAAUGAACGAACGAACGAACGAACGAACGAACGAACUACGAAUACCAAAGUUCAAUUCCCUAAAUUACAGGAUCCGUUUAGACCGUCCAUCUUGAAGAGGGCAAGAGAGCUCUUUUCAUUCACGAGUAUUCGUGUUUCUCAUUAAUUCCACUUCUUGAUUCCCUAUCGAUCGGUAUUAUAUAUAUAUAUAUAUAUAUAUAUAUAUAUAUAUAUAUACACCGAAAUAAACAAAGAAAAAUCGACGGCAAGGGGAAGAUUAGAGAGACUUAGAAAUCUGUGUGUGUGUAACAUACAUACAUACAUAUAUAUAUAUAUAUAAGGAUGUAUAUAUGUAUGUAUAUAUAUAUAUAUAAGAUCGAAAGUAUUAAUAGGACCCGUCCACGCGGCAACUCAUUUUGAAGGAGAUAAGGGAGUGAGAGAAACAAUGGAGACUCGUGGUAACAAUGCGAAAAACUGCGAACCGCGCGCAUGGGACUCGACCACGAAAAAUGGGCUGGCAGGGAGAAAGAAGAAAAAAACAAAAAAGGACAGAAGAAAAAAAAAGAAAAAAGGAAAGAAAGAAAAGAUGAUGCGCGGUGAUUAAAACGCGAAGAAACGCGGAGAAUCGGGAAGUGCGACGAGUAGUAGUAGUCCCUCUACUUCCCUUCUCUUCUCUUCCACUUGGCAACGAACACUUUGGAUUUUCGUCUUCCCCUCUUAUAUUUUUCCCUCGUUCCAUCUCGAGUUUCUCGCUUCCGAGAGGUGAUUUUUUUCUUUUUUUUUUAUCGCUCGUUCGUUCGUUCGUUCGUUCGUUCGUGCUCGUGAAAAGGAGUAAGUUGUAUGUGUUCUUUUUUCUUUUUCGUUUUUUUCCCUUUAUAUUUUCUUCCUUCUCUCUCUCUCUUUCUCUCUUUUGAAACGAAUAGUUGGUAAGAAACGUUAAAAAUGAUUAAGAUAUUUUCUAAGGACGAGUUAAAAAGAGAAAGAAACUGGAGGAGUAGGUGGUAACAUUUUCUGCAUACAGAUAAGAUAGGUUCAUAGUUGAAAGAGUAUAUAAAGUUAGAGAAGGAAGGAAGGAUCGAAAAGGCAUAGGGACUCGGACGUGGUCUCGAAAGUGGAAAUAAAGGAAGGAGAAAUUGGCCGGUCGAAUAGGACCCAUGGGUACUUCUGGGUGCGGAUAAGGACGCUUUUAAAUCGAGACAAAGAGUGGAAAAAAAUAAGGUGCUCGAUGGGCUUUUUAUCGAGUGAUUUGGUCAAGCGAUUCCCUUCGGACCGAUAAGCCUCGAUAGUCUAUGCGAGAAAAAAGAGAGUUUCGGAGUUACGUUCACCUUCUUUUCCCCAAUCAACGCUAUCCAACUCUUCUCUCUUUUUCUCUCUCGGUCUUCCUUUCCCCUUUUUAUCCCUUUUUACCCCUUUUCCAGUCGUCAUUACUUUCUUCCUCUCUCUAUCUUUCUCUUUUUCUCUCUCUCUUCCUGUAUCUAUCUAUCUAUCUAUUUCUCUCUCUCUCUCUUCUUCCCUUCCUCUUCUUCUCUUUGGUACCCUUCCAAUUUAAUUAAAAAAAACCAAGCGCGUUUUUCCGCGAUACAAAUACAGAGUUAUAUAGACUUCCACACACACACGUACAGAGAGACAGGAAUCAUAGUGAAAACGAAACGAUAUCGUCCCGGUGAGAAGCAAAGGGCCGAUCGAUUUCUUCCCUUCUUCUCGAUUACAACGACCGAGGUCGUUGUAUUUUUUGCUUAUUAGAGAUAGCGAAAGAGAGGAAGAGUCGAUAAAGGCCGAGCGAAAAAUAUUUUGCGUGCCAUCGUAAUUUCACGAAGAUUUUCUCUGUCUUUAUUUAUCUCUCCUUUUCUUUCUUAUAUUCGUUCGGCCGAUCUUCUUUAAAGGCAGAACGAAAGAAAGAACUCGUGAAAUUUGUGUCCACUCUCAAUUCUCAGAAAAAGAGAGAGAAAGAGAGAGAAGUAUUUUUCCAGUGUCACAGGAAGCUUUUUCGUUUUAUAGUCUCGCGUGCGAUGAGCGAGAAGAUAAAGAAGGAAGAUACUCUUAUAGAGGAUGGAAUUACUUUUCUAAUCGGGUGGUUUAGAAAUUCGAAGGAAGAAGUUGAUCUAACCGAAACGAGAGAAGGAAAGAAGAGAAAGAAAGAAAAAGAGAGAGAGGGAGAGAGAGAGAGAGAAAGAAAGAGAAAAAGAAAGAUCGUGUAUGUGUGUAUGCGUUUGAAAGGCUAACGAGGAAAUCGUCGGUGGCGGAGCUUAAGGUACUAUGCUAUACUAACAGUAAGAUUAGAGCAUUAGAUCCCACCCAUAGACUAUCUUGCCGUCCAAGAGAGAAAAUCCUCGAGUAUUCUACCGUUACUACUACCCUCUAGUCCUUUUAGUCCUUUCGUCCUAUCCGUUCCGUCCGCGGAAUAUUUCGCGUGUACGAAGUACAAUCGAUGCUCUGUCGAGGUUGCCCCUCCCCUUUCCUCUCCUCCUCUCCCCUUUUCCUUUAAAACUCUCUCCACUUCUUCUUUUCUCUCUUCUUCCUCGAAACAACGAUCGUUCAAGACAGCUUAUCGCUUAGGUAUAUCUCGUGGCUUCAAGUUCGUGGAAGGAUCCGUUGGUCGGUACAGAUUUCUGAGAGACAGCAAAAGAAAGAAGAAGACAGAGAGAGAGAAAGAGAGAGAGAGAGAGAGAGAGGAAGAGGAAAAGAAAAAGAAAAGAGAAGAGACGAGAAGAAAGAAAGAAAGAAAAAGAAAAACGCGAGUCCAAGGACUUGCUAGAGAGGGGGAGGGUACGUUUAACGACGAGAUUAGAGAGUUAGAUUCCCCUGGAGCAGCCCUGCGGUAGUAUCUUCCUAAGAAAAAUCUCAGACGAAGCACUCGCCAUUUUUCUCUUCUUCUUCCUUUUCCUCUUCUUCCUCCUCCUCUUCUUUUUCUUUUCCCUUUUCCUCUUUCUCCUACUUUUCCUCCUCCUUUUAUUCGUAUCUUUCUCCGGGGAAAAAUCCUUUUUCUUUAAUCUGCUUCCCUGUUCUCGCGAAGAACAUCGAAUACGCCUUCUCCUAUCGUAGAUUUUUCUCAACGAUAACUCGGCCCGCGGAAAGAUCAAAAACCGAUCGCGUGCGAUAAACGAUACAGUCUCUACGUGUGUGUGUGUGUGAUUAUGUGUAGAACGUUAAAUCACACGCAGACGAGAAUGGACAUGGCAGGAGGUGGAAUAAUGGAGGUGAUCCAGAAUGGAGGAGAAUGACGACUUGGUCGAUCGUACCGAGCAGUAUCUCUAGAUCGUAUUAUUAAAGCACUAAAUUCCAAGCGAUGUCUCUUGGCAUUAUCGCUUGUAUAUGUAUAUGUACAUAUAUAUAUAUGGGUGUGUAUGUGUAGGUAUAUAUCUAUACACUACCAACUCACUAAUUCCAAACGCUUCGUUACUUCCGUUUAAUUGAACUUGCUCGGAUUGAAAGUCAUUCGAUACAUAACCCACCUCCUCCUCAUACUCCUACUCCAUCCCUUAUAUUGGCUUCUCUCCAAUGUGCGCGCGCGAGAGAGAGAAACAGAGAAAAAGAGAGAGAGAGAGGAAAUAAACUUUUCGUAAAUAUAUAUUCCAUGCUGUUUCGUUUUUCAUGCCGAUAGGAAAACGAUAUCGAUAUUAUUCGUUUGGAGGAUAGAUAGAAAGAAACGAAAAAGAAAGGAAAGCUGAGUGAAAGGGAGAGGGUGAUCGAGGAAGAAAAGUACGAUAAAUUUUCUGCGUUGGUCGUUAAUGAAACGUUUCGCGGAAAAUCUGAGAUUUUCAGGAACGAUAAUACGGUGGCAAUGGGUGCUGCCACGCGAAGAAAUGAAAGAGAAAAGGGCUUUGCCAUUGAGAAAGAGAUUUUCCCUGUAAACCCCGAUGGUGAAGGUGCGUUGUGGCUGUAAGAGAGACUGCGAGAGAUAGAGAGAUGGAUAGAGACGGAGCGAGAGUAAAAGAGAAAGAGAGAGAGAGAGAGAGAGAGACAAGAGGGGGUGACCCGAAGUGGUCCAUUGUUUAACUUGAUAAAUGAAGUAGCCGAGCGCAGAAGCUCAACGCCGGCUUGGUACACAAUGGCGGCGAUAUAUUGUUCGGAGUUAAUUCAAUGCUGGAAACUCUGGCGCCCAAACAGGUGCGCCUGUACGUGGCUCUUUCCGUCCUUGUUCGACUAACGUCCGUGCGAAUCUUCUCUACCUUUUUCUUUCACCUAUCGAUUAAUUUUCUCUUUCUUUUUUCCCCACCCCUUAGAAAAAGAGAAAGACAGAGCAGCAUCAGCAGCAGCACGUGGGUGUAUUCGUUUUCGCGAGCAAAGCGUUGGUAUGGACGUUCGGCGUCCCGUGUAUCGCGAGGCUAAUGCGACAAAAAGAUAAAAGAUAAAAAGAGAGAAAAAAGAAAUGGAAAAAGAAGAAAAAAAGAAAAAAGAAAACUAAAAGCAAUGACUCUCCUCCGAAUCGUGUUUACUUCCAUUCGCGGUCGCACCUUUCAAUUUUCUCGCCCUUCGUACUUUUUAAAUCGAGCUCUGCGCUAACUCUCUCGCGCCCGGCGAAGAAUUUCAAUUAGAAGAAACCCAGCCGUGGAACGCUCGACGUCUCGUUGCUUUUUCUACCUUUCGCCGCGAGUGCUUCCCCGAGCGUGAGAACGAAAAAGUACAAUUAACUAGAGAACUUAAAAAAACGACUUCCUCGUCCUCCUCCUCCUCCUCCUUCUCUUACUCUUCCUCUUCUUCCUCCUCCUCCUCCUUCUCUUACUCUUCCUCUUCUUCCUCCUCCUCCUCCUUCUCUUUCUCCCACUACCAUUCCUUUUUCACCCUCUAACCCCUGCUAACCCCUUUGCUAUACUCUUUUUUCUACAGUCUACGACUUUAUCUCUGAAAAAUCUAUAGUAUCCGCUUCCAGAAAUUCUCUAUUCAGUGAAGUAAUUGGAAUGCUGCGGUUAUCCUACGAGAGAGAUAUGAGAAAAAAAGCAAUAGGUAUCGUAUCGUCAUAAUAUUCGUACGGCAUCCUUGAUAAUCCGAUCUAUCUUCUUUCAUUAUAUACAUAUAUAUAUAUAGAUACACACACACAGGUACAUAUUUUCUCUAAACCAAGUUUAAUAUUAUUAAUUCCUCUUUCAUUAGGAUAACGGUCGACCUGUCAGAAACCUUCGAAAUGAAAGUGCUAAACGAAAAUACUAUUCGUUUUAUUAUUUAGCUGCAUUUCUAAUGAAAUAUUAUUUCAUGCUUUUCGACGCUACGAACUCGUCGUAAAGUUUCAUAGUACAUUCCUUCCUUUCGAAUAUAUAUAUAUAUAUAUAUAUAUAUGCACGUUUUCGAGAGAAAUACGAAUAAGUGAAAGAAGCCUUGCACCAGCUUUUCCUCCUCCUCCUCUUCCUUUUCUAUCCUUCGUCCUCAUCAUAGUUAUGUGGCCGAGAAGAAGAGCAAAGUUGUUCCGUGAAUAAGCGAAUGCAAAAUAGGGCCGUACGAUAUUUUGCGAAUUGCCAGAGGGUGGGAGGGUGGUAAGGAAAAUAGGAGGAGAAGGGUCCGGGGUCGGUUCGUGCGAGGAACCACUUCAGAAAGAGAAAGAGGAAGAGUGGAGGAAAUAAAGAGAGAGGCCAAUCGUCGUACUCGUCACGAACGAACUUCCGCGCUUACGAGCGACCUUUAGGUGGAUUAGGUGAGAGAAUCGUAAAGUGAAAAUCCACCCUCUGCAUCUCAUUCGACCCUUCCUUCCAUUUUACUUCUUUUUCUUUUUCUCUCUUUUUUUUUUUUGUUUUUUUUCUCUUUUCAUCGUAUAACCUGACCUUUCUCUCUCUUUCUCUCUCUCUCUCUCUUUCUAUCUCUCUUUUCAUCCAUCCUUUCCUUUCUCGAAGGGACGCUACAAUACACUUUUCAAUUUUAUUCCCAUUCCCUUUUAUAUACCUAUAUCAAAGAGAUAUAUACGCGAAAUGGUUGGUUUGAGGUUCGAAAUACGUGUGUCGUCAUGAAUCAGUGUAAAAUUCAGACCGAGCCCGAUGACUAAUUGCAAGCACGAAUCGUUUUCUACGGGUAGCAUACGUACGCUACCGCUACCCGACUCUCUCUUUCUCUUUCUCUCGUUCCCCUUAUAUUCCUUUCGGCGGACUUCAAUUGGAGCUCGGAAGUGUUUUCUACGCUGGAGACUUAUUAACCGUAAGAGCUCGUUCCCGGUAGCGCUAUUUAUAAAAUUAAACCUAAGCUCUUCGUCUCUCUCUCUCUCUCUCUCUCUCUCUCUCUCUCUCUGUCUAUCCGUCUCUCCCGCUUCUUCCGAUGUGAGGAGUUCAUUCUCUCUCCUUGGCGUAAUCUCCAUUCGUUCAGCUCCUCGUUUCACGCUCGGCGAUUCGUCCUUCUGUCCUCGAGGUAGGAAUACGACGGUGUCUGGAUUAAAAUAGAGAGAGAAAGAUAGAGAAAGAGAGAGAGAGAGAGAGAAUAGUCAAGAUCGUGCACUGCGACGACGGCGUUAUGGUCAUAUUGUCAGCCACAGGGGUACGGAAAAUAGUACCAUCUUACUCCUUUGCUCGCAAGUAGGUAGUACUAUCUAACCAAGUGCUCUCGCAACCUUCUCUUUCUCAAUUCUCUCUCUCUCUCUCUCUCUCUCUCUCUCCUCUUUCUCGCUUUCUCCCUUAGGCACCGCUAGGAGAUACGCUGUAGGGCCCGGUUGAUCUUGGAAGUUAUGCCUGCAGAGUCGUAACUCUUUAAACUCUCUCACAACGCGCCGCUAAAAUCUUACGAGGAACGUUAAAACGUUCUAACAGCUCGUUCGGAAGCUUCGAUAAUUUCUGCCGAAGGGGCAGUACUACCGUUUCUUGUCUCGUGCACGGCUGCUGCACCACACCGGAUAUCGCUGGCUAUAAUUAAGUCGACGAACGACGAACGCCCGAACGUAUUUGACUCUUCUUCUUUUUCUUCUUUUUCUACUUCUUCUUCUUCUUUUUCUUCUUCGUCUUCUUCGUUCUCGUCUUCGUCUUCUUCGUCUUCUUUCUCUUCUUUGAAACAUCGAAAUUCCUACGGCUUUCUUCUUAAACGCCCCUCGAAAUAAUAUCACGAAUUUUCUGCUUCGUUUCCCUCGGAAGAAGGAGGACCGCUUUUGUCUUCCUCUCUUUUUCUCUCUCUCUCUUUCUCUUUCUCUCGCUCGCUCUUCAUCGCGUUCAUUCGUGGAAUUUGCAUCUCCGUUCGAGCGAGCUGUAAUUCGUCGCAACGCUCGAGGUGACAAUUAAUUCCGAGGAUCCUUUCCCAGCCGAAUUCUACCCUAUUACAUAUUCAGACCGUAUCUCGACGAAUGCCAUCCGUAAUCGGAGCCAAGCUUUCUCUCUCUCUCUCUCUCUCUCUCUCUCUCUCUCUCUCUCUCUCUCUCUCUCUCUCUCUCUCUCUGUCUUUUCUCAUUUUCAUUCGUAAGAAAAAGAGAAAGCUUUAAAAUCAGAAGAUAAUAUUUAAUGAACCAGUAAGCGGGACGCUUUCCGGUUAUUAUUAGAAGGUGAAGGUAAUUAUCAUAGCGAACGAGCAGAACGGUAGAAUUGCACAUAGGAGUUACAGGGACGAAUGGUGGUGGUUGGGAGGUGUAAGGGGCUGUAUGGGGGAGAGGGAGAGAGUUUAAGGCUUCAACGGCACACCCGAUGCUCGCUCUCUCCACUUGCUUCUGUUUAUGACAGUGAUGGAUGCGUUUGCCGGUAAUUCAUCAUCCCUUCUCUCUCUAUCUCGUUUUCUCUCUCUCUUUCUCUCUCUCUUUCUCUCUCUCUUUCUUUCUCUCUUUAACAAACCCAAACGAUGCGUCCUAUUUUCCCGUUGGCCUCUUCUACCUUCGUGUGCUCGAAUAAGCAGCAGAUCGUUCCUAACCGUGCGUCUUGUCGGUCUCCUUUCACCACAGUGGGGUUCCAUCAGAGAUUUUUAUGCCUCUGGCAGAUGGGCUUUGUUCAUUUUUUUUCUUCUUUUUUUUUGCUCUUUUUCUUUCUUUUCUUUUUUUAUCUUGUCCUAAUCGGACAGAUAAUCUCACCUACUACGCGAUUUCCUUUUUUCUUUUUCUUUUUCUUUUUCUUUUUCUUUUUCUUUUUUUUCUUUUUCUUAAAGGGGUGGGGUUGAAAUUUUGUGAUCUGACGAUAAUCUAACGGUGAUGUCUUCGUUCUUAUUUACGAUUCUUAUCCGUUUAUCGAGCGUUUGUUAGAAAAUUCGUGAUCGACGACGAUUAGAGAGCGAUUCGAUGUCAAGCGGAUCACGUAGUCCCUUAUUUUAAUCUUUCCUUAGACAAGGUAUUUUAAAUAUUAAGCGAAAAGGAUAAAAUAAAUUACGAUCCGUGCGACGGAUUGAAUUGUGUCCGUCACGUGGCAAGAGUCAAAAGUAUGCGAUUCCGUGAAUCAGUUUUGCGGUGUGUUAACAUAAGGGCCGAACUAGAAGUGCCUUCGAGAUAGGAGUGACUCAGGACUGUAUCGAAUUAAUGUCUCCGAUCUACGUACGUCCAAUCUUCCCUUUAGUCGAGAUUAGUACCGACACGGAUGGCGUGUCAUUGGAAAUCAGGGUUUCUCCCUUAUCGUAGGUCCGUAUCGUAGAUAAACGUAAUACGAACAGUAGGAAAUUCUUAGUGUAAAUUCGAAGAUAAACGAUAAACGAUGACGAUGAUAACGAUGAUAAAAAUGACAAAGUUUCCGAUUCUUCAAGUUCUCUCGUUAAUUUUCGCAACAACGAUUUCAAGAACGAUUACGUUUAUCGAUCAAUUAUGACCAUAUCAUCGAUUCAUUAUUCCUCGUUCAUCCACGUCAUCCCAUUGUCCCUCUCUCCUCUACUCUUCUAUUCCUCUAUCCCCUCUAUCCUCCUAUCCGUUAGCUUUUUCUACAGUUCUAGCUACAGCAACAGCCGUCGUAACUCUUGACUACCUAAACUGGAAUGCAAUUUUUAUUAGAGAAGAACCUCUCGUACGUUUUCCUCUCCGGUUUAGCUCGUCACGUAAUCGUCUAAACGGAGAGAGUGAGAUGGUGGUGUUGGGUGCGAAGGAUAAAAAGCAGAAGGACAUGAAAAGGAUAAGAGGCUACAUUUCGGCAGUGCAAAAUCACCAACGCUUGUGGAAACGUGCGAGAAACUUUAAUGCCACGAUAUUCUUCUGUGAAUAAUUCAUUUCUUUCUUUCUUUCUUUCUUUCUUUCUUUCCUUCUUUCUAUUUUUCUUUCAUUCUUUAUUUUUAUUUCUUCUUGCACCGAACGACGACCCUCUUCUUUGUCUCCGCGUUAUUUCAAAUUUUUCAGAUUUUUUCUCUCCCUUCUCUCAACCCUUCUCUCUCUCUCUCUCUCUCUCUCUCUUUUUCUUCAUUUCUUUCUCUGUCCAUUUUUUAUUUCUCUCUUUCUCUUUCUUUCUUUUUUCUUUCCCUUUCUCCUUCUCCUACUCUUUUACAUACGAUAUUACGAAAGAUCAAUUACAAAUUCGUUUUAGUUAACGUUAUUUCCAACCCUUACGUUAAAUACAUCCGUUCGAAUAAUAUUUUCCCUUCCUUUUCAUUUUCCUUUUUUUAGAGAGAAGGAAGGGAGAUCAAUUCUCGUUUCAUUGUUUCGUACGAUUACCAUUGAUCGUCGUAACGCUUAACGCGAGAGCGAGCGUAAUAUCGAUGGAUCGCGUGGGCGCUUUCAAAAGUAUUUACAGAUUUGUUUUGUCAAAUAUUGCUACGACGCGGUUGAUCGUGAACGAACGAACGAACGAACGAAACAAAAAAAAAAAGAGAGAGAGAGAGAGAGAGAAAAGAAGGGAAAGGCAAAAAUGCAAUCAACGAAUUCGACAACAUUUUUAUCACCGCGAGGCAAUUUGUUAUUUUCCCUUUUCUUUCUUUUUAUUAUUUCGUUUGCUUCCUUUUUUAUUUUAUUCCUAUUUUUUUUUCUUUCUUCCUAUAAUCAAACGCACGAUUUAUUAUUUUGAUACGCACGUUUUCACGAAUCGAAUUUCCACGAAUCGCGAUGGACUGGCGAUUGAAAAGGGAACGCUAUUACAAGGAAGAAACGCGCGUAGAUUUUUCAGUUCCUAGCGCCGCAAACGAAGCCAUUGAUUCUUUUUUCAACGACAGACAGACAGAGAAAAAGAGAGAAAGAGAGAAAGAGGGAGACUCAUGGAAAGUUUUAAAAAGCGACGCGACAACGAGCCGAUUGUGAUGAAGAAAUCGUCGUGCCUGUAAACGGAAGGGCUCCGAUGUCCUCUCCUCCAAUCGAAACGAGAGCAGCAUUCGACGAGAGUCGUAGAGCAACGGAGAACAAUGACGAUCCUGGCACGGUCGAAGGAACGCCAAUACGCAAGCUUUUCAACUAUAUGUGUGUGUAUAUAUAUAUAUAUAUAUAUAUGUAUGUACAUACAUAUAUAUAUAUAUACAAUCACACUAUACUUAUAGAUAUACACAGCUAUGUAUAUCAAUGCGCCACCAUCAUUAAUUUCAUUGAUUUGUGACUCGAGAGAGUAGGAGGAUAACCAUCGAUUUUCUCCACCUCUCGUUAUUCUCCAUUCGUAUUUGAAGGAUUAGAAUCGGACCUGGUGUAAUUAGAAUCACGAUUGUCUCUAUCUAUCUAUCUAUCUAUCUAUCUAUCUAUCUAUCUAUGUAUCUAUCUAUCUAUCUAUCUAUCUGUCUGUCUGUCUGUCUGUCUGUCUGUCUGUCUGUCUGUCUGUCUACCUCUCUUUCUAUAUAUAUAUAUAUAUCUUUCUCUUUAUGACUCUGUUAAAUUAAAAUCAUAACUUUGUAAGGUUUUCACUUUGAUAACCGAGAAUGAAAGGGAUCUCUUUUCAUAGAACCUAAACAAGUAUAAUUAUGUCUCUCUGUGUUUUGUCCAACCGGUGUAAUGGACAUAUUCAAUUAAAUCCCUUUCUCUUCUUUUCUACGAGAUCUCUCGGCGACUCGUUUUUCAAGUCGUUAAAAACGAGUAUCGGAGAGCACUAUCGUCGUCAUAGUUAUCAUCGGAUGAACGAGCAAGAAAAAAGGGUAAUAAUAAUAAGAGCUCGGGAUGAGGAGUAAAACGUGGUAUAUGUAAUAGAUACUUAUGUAAUUCAAAACUUACUGAAUACGUUACAUUACUUUUACUUUAAUCUGUGGAUACUAAAAUUAAAUCCAAAUCGGAGUCUGUCACGAGUCCGUAUUCCUUUUGUUUUGAUAUUUGUGGAAUACCGAUGGUAUUGGCGAUCGUCGUAUCUGAUAAAAACAGUCUCCUUUAUAAAUCCGAAUAAAAUCAAUGGGAAUUUAUAUACUCCUCUUUUUCCUCCUCUUCCUCUACCUCGGUUUCUCUUUCUACUCUUUUAUAUGAUUUAUCGCAGCAUCAUUGAGAUCUCUUGUUCUCUCGUUUUCGCAAAGGUUAAAGGUCCAUCGGUGCACGUGAUUCGACUGGCUGGCUGCUCUCUUCUCUCUCUCUCUCUCUCUCUCUCUCUCUCUCUCUCUCUCUCUCUGUCAUACUUGAAUUCGUUAAUUACAGGCGAACCGAUUACGCUCGUUUAAUAUAUUUUCAUGUAAUUUUGCGUGCACUGUAAUGGGAAAGCUAUGUGUAUAUAUAUAUAUAUAUAUAUAUAUAUAUAUAUAUAUAUAUACAUAUAUACCUAUGUAUAACUUCUAUUAUGGAAGAGCACUCGCUUAAGGUUCGUCUCUAAUAAAUCACGUCUUGCUAAUCGCUCCGACUAGCGUUUUAGGAGAUUCCUACUAAUGACGCUAAUGACACCGCACCCUAAUUACGCGAUACGAGUUGUCUCCGAAUUCGAACGGAACACGAGAUCCGCUCGUUCGGACUCACCUAUUUUUCUUUUCUUUCUUUCUUUUUCUCUUCUCCUCCUUCUCAAUUUCCUUCAUUUUUUGCUUCUUUCUUUUUUUUUCUCUUCUUCUUUCUCCUCCUCCUCCUCCUCCUCCUCCUCCUUCUCCUCCUGCUGCUGCUGCUGCUCAUCUUUACCGACCUUUUUACUCGAAAAAAAAUAUCUACCUUGUGUCUUAUCUAAGACGUUUUAUCGGGUCGUUGCCUUCUCCAAUUUGCUUUUUCGCACGCUGUGCCGUUACAUGUUCCUUCCCUUCGUCAUUUCACCCUAACUUACAACUAUCAUAUUUAUCUAGCAUAUUAAUCGGCAGCCGGCAUUUUUGGUAAGAUAGAUUUCCGUCCGUUAUUAAAUUUCAUUAAAAGUCCGCAAUUAAAAAGGGUACCUUAGGCGAUAUAUAUAUAUUUUUUUUUAUCCAAUUCCCUCGAGCGCGUGUCCUUCCACUACCCUUAGCUAAUUUCAACCGUAAAAAAGCGUUAAAAAACGUCACGAAAUUCUGUUCUCUCUGGACGAAUAAAAGUAAAAGCGAUCGGAGGAAAAAGAUAAUAAAAAGGACAAAAUGAAGAACAAAAAGAAAUAAAAAUAGAAGAAGUAUAAAAACAAAAUGGACAGAAUCCGUCGGUGGCGGAAGUUGGUAAAAACUUUCAUUUCGUAUUUAAUCGAUAAAAUUAAUACAUGGAGGAUAAUUACUUUCGUUUUCGCGAUGAUGUCCUACGAUUGCGAUCCCUUCUAUUCGCGUGCAAUAUCACGAGUUUAUAAAAAGUUGAUGGAAAAUUCGACGGGGUUCUUCGAUUUCGCGAUGGUAAACGAGUCAAUUUCGGCCAAGUGCGGUUCGGCCGAGGGAACAACAAAAAUAACAAUAAUAACAAUGAUAACAACGGCAACGUGCAACAGUAACAACAAGAACAAGAACGAUAACAAUAACAUAACGAGGACGACGACAACGGUGAUAAAGGACAAUGGUUAUCGUAACGUUCCGGCCUUUAUUAUGUUUCGAUCGUGCUUGGUAAUUGAACCAUUAUUAGCAAUAUACCUAUACACAUCGAAUAGCAGUUACCAACGAGAUAUAUACAUCGAGUGGGGCAGACCGGUCCAAUUAUUAUUUGCUAAAUACCGAGCCAACCUUGGAUGGUUCUCGUUGUUGCGCGUGCCGUUGGUAAAGCAUCUAUUUUCCUAUUUGAAAAGCUUCUGAAGAUUUUUUCCUCCAUUUUUGUUGAGAAAGAAACGAAAGAAGUAGGAAGGAAGGAAGGAAGGAAGGAAUGAGAAUGUAAGUGCGUAGAAAUGCUUUUCAAAGUCCACUAAAGGAACUCGUGCAUGCUUAUAAAUGCGUAGGAUGAUAGAACCCUCUCGAAAAGAGAAGAAGAAGAAGAAGAAGAAGAAAGAAGAAGAGGAGGAGGAGGAAGAGAAUUCUCUUCAGAAGCUCGAUUUUCAGGAGCCUUAUCGAGUUUCGAAGAUUCGAAAGGAGUCACCGACAGCCCUUUCCUUCCUUCCUUCCUUCCUUCUUCCUUCCUCUUUCAAACAUUCCCUCUCCUUUUCCUUUCUUCCUUUAUUGCUGCUUCUCCACCUGUCAGGCCACGACAAAAGUCCGUAAAAUUAAAUAUUGAUUUUGUUUGCGAGCAGAAGAGCCAGUCGCGACUUAUUCUGCGAGCAAAGGAUAAGGAUGAGAAUGAGGAUGAGGAUGAGGAUGAAGAGGAUGAGGAUAAGGUUAAGGUGGAGGAGACAGAAGGGUGGGAUUCUUCGUCCUCCCGAGUUUAUCGCUGAUUCCAGUCGAAAAUCCACUUAAGGCAACUUUAAAGGAUGAGACCUGAGGGAUACUCGUGUCCUCGUAUUUCCGCAAACUGGAAGCGAUUUCUAUACUUUCUUUUCUUUUUUCUUUUCUUUUUCCUUUUUUUUCCUCUUUUUUUUUCACUAUCGUUUCUACACGUUUCUCUUUUUCUUCGUUAAACUCACUUUUGCAUACUCGAAAGACUCUCAUUCACUCUCUCUCUCUCUUUCUCUCUUGAUUUCGACCAACCAACCAUGGAAUUCAUCGAGGCUUCAUCGAACUCGGUGUAAAUUAGAGGCUUCAUAUGGUCUCUCUAUCUCUCUUUCUCUCUCCCUCUCUCUCUCUCUCUCUCUUUCGCGGUCACGAGUCUCUCAAAAUUCACGACACGAGCCUAACGGCCAGCUGGAAUUUCACUAAAAUUCCUGGCAUAGUCGUAGCCCGCGUGAGACCCCUCCGGUUAAUAAUGAAAGCACGUCAGUUUGUAAGUUAAUUAACCUAACGGAUCGAUUAAUCACCAGUAAAGACUCUCACCCACGUGUUUUACUCAAGCUGCUUAUCGAUCGGAUCCGAUCCGAUCCGAUCUUUUCUGAUCGGAUCUUCCUGAUAUUUUUUAUUUUCAAGAUAACAUCAUCUACAUUCCGCAGAUCUUCUUUGCUUUAUACAAAUGAAGAGGAAAUUAAAAAAAUAGAAAGAGAGAGAGAGAGAGAGAGAGAGAGAAAGAUAAAGAAAGAACCAAAGAAAAGAAAAGCAGAAGCAAAGCAAAGCAAAAAAUAAUAUUCUUUGCUUCCAUUUUUCUUUCGCUGACCUUUUUCAAAGUUCAUAGAACCUAUUCUCUACGGUGUUUAGAGUACUCGUUUCUUCUUUCUCCGUUUCUUUCUCGAAGGUUGUCAUCGCAUUGCUGAAAAAUAUCCGCUUGUAUAAACCCAGUUAUAUAUACGUGUCGGCGUCGGCGGUUGCCGGUUGCCGGUUGCCGGUUGCCGGUUGCCAGUUACCUACCGACAACCGUAAAACGAAACUCGAAGAGCAAACUCGCGACGGUCUCGGGCACGUCGUCCUCGGAUAACCUAACCCAUCGCUAACUCGAACUUGUCGUCUAUCAUCUAUCCUUUCUUAUUUCCUUUCCUCUAUUUCUUCUUACUCCUUUUUACGCUUUCUAUCUUUCCUUGCCUCGUGAAAAGCGCCGUCUGACACGAGAACGACAACGACGAUGAAACCACCGUUGCUCAUUCCUCGAAACUUCUCUUUUCGCUAUGAUAGAAAGCAACCAUCAGCAUUCAUCCUUUCGAGUGUGAAUUUUAUUGGUAGUAACCUUUCGAUAAAGCUCCGAGGUCGUAAGUCGCUUCUUUGUAAACUUCCAAGAAAAGAAAAGAAAAUAUUCCAAAUCGAAAACUUUGAAAUUUCAAUUGCGGCGACUUCUCUUGCGUGACUUUCCAAGUUCUUAUCUUCUCAAGGUUGGUCUCUUGGGACACUCCCCGAUCGUGUAAGAAUAAUCGUCCUACGGCGUAUUAAUUUUGUAUGCGUGAUAGUACGAUUAUUUUUCUAUCAAAAAGACAAAAUCAGAUAGAGAGAGAAAAAGAGAGAAAAAAAUAGAAGAAAAAUUAGAGAGAUUCUUGGAUGGUACAAAUUCGCACGUGAAUGAAACCUAGCCUCGUUCUUCUUUAGUCUCGUCGUAAGGAAGGAUUUUGGCAAAUUUCCCGUUCUCCACGUUCUCCGCAGUCAUCCGCAAGCCAACAAAACCACACAAGACGAUAACUCGUCUUGGACGUCAUCGACGUCAUUAAACGCUGACGUUCGCAACGAACGAACGCGAAUGGUCCGCGACAAUUUCGCGAUAAAAAAGAAAAAAAAAUAAUCGUUAACGCGUAUAGUACGUACGUGCUUACCUAUUUUCCUUCUGGAGAAUAUAAUAAUCAUUUGGAUUAGAAGAUCCCUGCUAAGGGUAAGGAAGGGUGGUAGGUUACUACAAUACCUACGAUUUUGAUUAGAAAUGCGAAGGAGCGCGCGAGGAACGAGACGAUUCGUAAUGUUAUUAGUUACUACUACUGGAAGAAGAAAGAGAAGGAGGAGGAGAAGAAGGAAGAGGAGGAGAGGAUGAAAAGGAGGAGAUGGAGAUGGAGGUGAAGAUGGAGGUGAAGAAGGAGUGGAGUAGCGAAGGAGCACCGUGCGGUACCGGACACUUGUUGCUAAAGUUCGCGUCAUGUUUUAGCGAUAAAUUUAGCUCGCGACCUUCUCUCGAUUUCUAUUUAACGUCGACGGCAACGACGACAUUUACCGUUGAGAUAAUGGUUUAAAUACUCGAAGGAUUUUCUUCUUUCAAAAAAUUCUACGAUAACUCGAAAAUAAGGUAUGCUAUAUUAUAUAUAUAUAUAUAUAUAUAUAUAUAUAUAUAUAUAUUCUACUGCAUUAUUUAUCGGAACUUUAUUUACCAUCUUAUGGAUUAGAGCCAGGGAAAAAAUAUGACAGAAGGAGAAGGAAAUAAGAGAUCGAAAUUCGAUAAAACGUAAGCAUUAUUAUUGGCCUAGUUUGUCGAUAGAAACUGUGCUAACGCAUCGCGUUCACAAAGUUAUAAAACAGGACGUGGAAAGACGCGUCGUCAAUGGCGUUGGUUGGUUGGUUGAUUGGUUGGUCGGUCGGUCGGUCGGUCGGUCGAUCGCGAAGGUCGUGCUUCGCGAGUCCGUUCUUGUGUUCAAGGUCGAGGACGUUAAAGCUUUCGAGCUUUCGAGCUUCGAUCCAUCCCGAAAUAUCCGACUCGUUUGUCGCAAUGACGUUGAAAGGAUCAUCGACGAGACAGGCACUCUUUUACUGUUUUUUUCUUUUUUCUUUUUCUUUUUCUUCCUUUUUUAUUUGUAUUCUCUUAACGAAGUGAAAGAAACGAUAUUUCCGCAAGAUUGAACGUGAGAGAUAAUCGAUUCGGGGAGGAGGAGGCGAGUGCAGAGGGAACAUGGGGGUGGGAAAGAAAAAAAAGAAAGAAAGAUAGAUAGAUAGAUAGAGAGAGAGAGACAGACAGAGAGAAAGAGAGAGAGAGAGAGAGAAAGAAAAAAAACAAGGAGAAAAAAGGAUACACUUUCAUUCGACGCGAGUGAGAGACGACGGAUAAAAGGGACAGAUAGAGUCGAUCACGAACGACGUUCAAAGGGAUCGUCAUUGAUGCUGGAGAAUGAUGGUUAUAAUAGCCUUUCUCGAUGCUGAUGGUGGUGGGGUGGUAGUGGUAGCGGAUGAGGAGGAGGAGGAGGAGGAGGAGGAGGAGGAAGAGGAGGAGAGGGAGUAAAUUUUUGUAUUUGGGAUCGUAACGCGCAAUGCGCGUGACGUGCGCUGCCGUGUUAGUUGAUAUACCAUACGUAUACGUGUGUUGCGCAUUCUAGGAGGGGGGACGGGGGUGUGUGUGAGAGAGAAAGAGAGAGAAAGCGAGAGAGAGAGGGAGAGAGAGAGAGAGAGAGAGAGUGGAAUCGAGUCGGCGUGGUGUCGACGAAGCUCGUCGAGGCGACUCGAGGCAGAGCCAAAGAGGGGACGCGAGUUCUCUCUCCCUCUCAGUGGCCCGUGAACCGCGACCGGAGCAGUACCUCUCUUUGACGCGACGACGACCUCCGGACACCCUUCGACCUCACGAGAAAGAGACUUCCUCUUCUUCUGUUUCUUCUGUCUUCUACUUCUACGUCUACUUCUACAGAAAUACGAUGGUGUCCAUACAGUUAAAAUUCCCGCUCUAACGAGGAUUACAUCCCUCGAGCUUUCAAGUGUCAAGUGAUGUUCCAGCAUAUACAUACACAUAUUGUUUGCGCACGGAGACGUUGUAAGAGGAACGUGAAUCCAGUCAACGUCAAAUCGAAGAAAAAAGAAUUUCUCUCGAUAUUUAAUAGUCUUAUGUUUUAAAAGUUAAUUAACGAUUCUUUGAGAAAUUUUUAUUAUUUUUUUAUCGUUAUUAUUAUCAUCAUUAUUAUUGUUGUUAUUAUUAUUAUUAUUAUUAUUAUUAUUAUUAUACUGUUAGAUAAGCGAGUUUGAAUUUACCG